UACAUGGGGUGCAAACGUUGCUCGGAAUUAUUGGGCGUAAAGCGCACGUAGGCGGUCCGUUAAGUCGGAUGUGAAAGCCCCCGGCUCAACCGGGGAAGUGCAUCCGAAACUGGCAGGCUAGAGUACGAAAGAGGGUCGCGGAAUUCCCGGUGUGGAGGUGAAAUUCGUAGAUAUCGGGAGGAACACCGGUGGCGAAGGCGGCGACCUGGGUCGAUACUGACGCUGAGGUGCGAAAGCGUGGGGAGCAAACAGG
rnacentral:rRNA from 1 species